CCUACGGGUGGCAGCAGGGAGGAAUAUUGGUCAAUGGGCGGAAGCCGGAACCAGCCAAGUAGCGUGCAGGAUGACGGCCCUACGGGUUGUAAACUGCUGUUAUACGGGAAUAAAGCGCCUUACGUGUAGGGCUUUGCAUGUACCGUAUGAAUAAGGACCGGCUAAUUCCGUGCCAGCAGCCGCGGUAAUACGGAAGGUCCGGGCGUUAUCCGGAGUUAUGGGGGUUAAAGGGAGCGUAGGCCGCAUGUCAAGCGUGCUGUGAAAUGUCCGGGCUCAACCCGGGCCUGGCAGCGCGAACGGGCGUGCUUGAGUCCGCGGCAAGCAGGCUGCAUUCGUCUUGUAGCGGU
rnacentral:rRNA from 1 species